rnacentral:rRNA from 1 species
UACGAGGGGGGCAAGCGUUGUUCGGAAUUACUGGGCGUAAAGCGCGCGUAGGUGGUUUGUUAAGUUGGAUGUGAAAGCCCCGGGCUCAACCUGGGAACUGCAUCCAAAACUGGCAAGCUAGAGUACGGUAGAGGGUGGUGGAAUUUCCUGUGUAGCGGCGAAAUGCGUAGAUAUAGGAAGGAACACCAGUGGCGAAGGCGACCACCUGGACUGAUACUGACACUGAGGUGCGAAAGCGUGGGGAGCAAACAGG